UCCGUGAAUGAUGGGUAUCAGGCCUGGACCAGGUUUGAUUCUAUAACGGUCCAGCAUCGACGGCCAUCACUGCUGAAUCGAGGCUGUUGCUCUGGCCUGGACCAGUAUCUAUUUCAGUCCCGAUGUAGUCAUAGCUGAUACAGUAAUGUCUGUUCGUCAGCACUGGUCCAGGCUGUAUAUCAGUACUGGAUCAGAUCGAUGCUUUUCAAGAUGGCAGCCCCGCGUGGACUACCUGACAUGUUUUGUUAAAGAAAAUCAUCUUAAUCUGACUCUUUAAGAGAAAUCUCGUUGGCUGUAUACACUAGGGCUAAAUCACUGGAUGUUAUGCUAUUUUGAACCAUUCAGUUUAUUACUUAAACAUGAGUAGGAUACACGAUAUUUUGAGUAAAAAAUACAUGACUGGAAAAUAAAACGACUGACAACUUCCAAUUAAAGUUUACCACAUCUUGCCUACAAAAUCUCUAUGAUACGAAAGUAGAGACCUGGGUUUAUGAGGAAUUAUCAAAGGGUAUUGAGCCAAACAUUGAAACAGAGCCAGAAGACCUUUCUGCAAUAAUCAUGACACUAGUGAAGACGAUGAGAAAUCAGGCGUAAAAAUGGUUCACUACAUGUGAUUGUAACUAUGUUUUUAAUUAGGGUGAAUGUAUUAGUGAUCAUGAUGAUGAAGAUAUUGUACUGAGAGACUUAUGAAUGAUAGUCACAAGUGUGAAUUUUUGAUACGAAAGAUUAUUCUGGAAAUAUUAGUAUAGUAGGUGCUCCUUUAAUUCAUAUUAAUUUAUUAAUUUAGCAAGGCCACUAGUAUACAUUCUAUAGUUACCUUAUCUCACUAAGUUUCAAGACAAGAAUAUCUUAGGUUUGUUUAAUUUCAUGUGAAAAGCUAAAUUCAUUAUUCAGGUUGUGAUGAACUGAAACUUUCUUGUUUAAAGCUCUUGUUAAGUUCACUUCAAAUAGCAUUGAUUUUUUUUGUGAACCUGCCUUCAUCAUGCUGGUUAAGGAAGUUAUGUUAUGGAUCUAAGCUUUGUAGGACUAUGUGUUACAAGAUACCUUUGAAAGAUCUGCUUCACUACAUGGAACCCCAGAGUUCAUUAAUGUUGGGAGAUUUUGGGAAAUUAAUUUCUCAGUAAUGUGUCUUAAGUUACAAAACAUGAAGUGUUUUACUUGUGGAACAUUGGUAGACUAUGAUGAAGAAAACAAUUAUAAUCUUUUUUUGGUUUUAAUAAUAAUUCCAAAUCAUUUUAAAUUAAUAA